UACGUAGGUGGCAAGCGUUGUCCGGAUUUACUGGGCGUAAAGAGCGCGCAGGCGGUCGUUCAAGUCGCGUGUGAAAGCCCCCCGGCUCAACUGGGGAGGGUCACGCGAUACUGAUCGACUCGAAGGCAGGAGAGGGUCAGUGGAAUUCCCGGUGUAGUGGUGAAAUGCGUAGAUAUCGGGAGGAACACCAGUGGCGAAGGCGACUACCUGGCCUGUUCUUGACGCCUGAGGCGCGAAAGCUAGGGGAGCAAACUGGG
rnacentral:rRNA from 1 species